rnacentral:lncRNA from 1 species
UUAAUUAAUUUUUUUUUAUUUAAUUGUGAUCCUUUUUUACAAUUUAACGAGACUUGAAAAGCAGAAAAACAACAAUUUUCAGUUUUUGGUAUUUUGUAAAGCAUGAACUAUGAACGUAUAAUAUAUUAUCAACAACAAACAACAAUAAUAAACAACAAACAAGUUCAAUCAAACAACAACAACAAACAAGUUCAACCAAACAACAACAACAAACAAGUUCAACAAAAAAAACAACAAACAAGUUCAACAAAGAAGUUCUACAAAACAAAAACGAAAACGAAAACUAACCUUCAAACGGUGGGUUCAUCGUAAUAAAGUGUUGCCACCAGUGAGAGAGAAAGCAAAAUGUGCCUAUGAAGGAAAAGAACACGAAAGUAAUCAGUCAAAACAAACAAAAAUCAUACCUAAAGUAGUUGAUUAACAUGCAUUUGUAUCAAAGGUAAGAAAGAUACCAAAUAUAGAUAUUUCAUAUGUAAACCUUAGAUCACUGGAAGGCUUACAACAAAAGAUGGAUCUUAGGAAUAGAAUCGAAGACUGGCUGGCCCACUUGUACGUAAUAGACAUAUUUAAAGUUUAAGAGCUAUCACUUUGAACUUUUACUAGAUUUAUAAAAUAAGUGGAGGUCAUGUACAACAACCUGAACUCGUCAAACUUUGUUCCAGAAAAGUUUGAGCAGAGAAGCGGGUCUUGUGCGCUAAUAUAAAGUGAAUGAAUUUUCAAUCUUCUGCUCAAAUUUUUAUUUAAUUCACUAACCUUUUAACGUCUAACGCUGGGGCAUUCGACAUUUUAUAUCAUUUUACAUCGAAUUAUAAUUCUAAACUUUGUUUGAUAAUUGCAUUUAUUUACAAAAAUGUCACCAGUCAUUUUUAAUGUUG